rnacentral:lncRNA from 1 species
CUGUCCUCCUGCCUGCAGAAGUGGCUCUGUGAGCCGUUUGAGGAGAAAAUGGGGGACUUUGGGCUUCAGCCCGAGGAGAACACGGUGGAGAUGGAGGAGCCCCUGGGCGUCCGCAGGUUAACUGAAAACAUGAGAGGACACAAGCACGGGACCAAGUCUGUCACUAACCUGUAAAGUACUCUCACCAAGCCGACCGGGCACUUUGUCUGAGCGCCUGCCUUUGCCACCACUGUGUGCAGGAAUGCCUGGGUCAUGACUGGGCCAUCCCAGUGUUCUUAUUUCUAUACAUUCCGAGGUUACCCCUCAGCAAAACUCCAGAGGCUGGCAGACACAGCGGAGCAUCCUGCAGUAGGGAUCCGAAGCCGUGGAAUCUCCAAAGGACCACUUGACCGCGUCCCAGAAGCUCCAGCUCAGGCUGGACAUUGCCCAGAAAGCCCACAUCAUCUUUGGCAAGACCUCCCGGAUUGUGAUCACCCCAAGCUCUGGGUGCCUUCCUGUCCUUCUGCUUCUUCCUUGGCCGCUUUAGGGGGUGCUUCUCCAAAUCCCGGACGUCCAGGAGGAACAACGGCGUCAAGCUGGCUGACACCAGGAACACCCAGAAGUCCCCGCUCCUGUCUGUCCUUCCGCACUCAGGAGCGGGGAUGGCCACAGGGACACCAUCUGCCCACAAACCGCUGGCGUUUGCUGCCAUGGUGCACGGAGAUGCGGUCCCCGAGGAGGCCACUUUCGGCCAGGACGCCGGGAUCGUAUCAGCGGCAGCA